rnacentral:rRNA from 1 species
GAUGAACGCUGGCGGUGUGCCUAAUACAUGCAAGUCGAGCGAACAGACGAGGAGCUUACUCCUCUGACGUUAGCGGCGGACGGGUGAGUAACACGUGGAUAACCUACCUAUAAGACUGGGAUAACUUCGGGAAACCGGAGCUAAUACCGGAUAACAUGUUGAACCGCAUGGUUCAACAGUGAAAGACGGUCUUGCUGUCACUUAUAGAUGGAUCCGCGUCGCAUUAGCUAGUUGGUAAGGUAACGGCUUACCAAGGCAACGAUGCGUAGCCGACCUGAGAGGGUGAUCGGCCACACUGGAACUGAGACACGGUCCAGACUCCUACGGGAGGCAGUAGUAGGGAAUCUUCCGCAAAGGGCGAAAGCCUGACGGAGCAACGCCGCGUGAGUGAAGAAGGUCUUCGGAUCGUAAAACUCUGUUAUUAGGGAAGAACAAAUGUGUAAGUAACUAUGCACGUCUUGACGGUACCUAAUCAGAAAGCCACGGCUAACUACGUG